ACUACGGAGAGUUUGAUCCUGGCUCAGGACGAACGCUGGCGGCGUGCUUAACACAUGCAAGUCUACGAGAAUAAGGUAGCAAUAUCUUUAGUAAAGU
rnacentral:rRNA from 2 species